ensembl:lncRNA
UUCAUGAAUGGUUUUUAAUGGUCAAAGGGUUCAUUUCUGUGCCUUUAGUAUCAUAAAAUAAAUAAAUAAUAAUAAUUAGGCUGAUUUAAAUGUCACAAACCUCUCAAACUAGUUUAAAAUUGCUUUCAAAUAAAAUUACAGCUCAUUUUGAAAAUGACUUACCACAAAUAGUUUUAUUGAGGUUUAUUGAGCAAAUGUCAUUGUCAUUCCAGCUGAUUCAGCAAGCGAGUUGUCCAAAUCAUUCACACUCAUUUUAAUUCAAUUUUUGAUUAAAUUUUAGUUCCCGAAAGUGUUGUUUUAGUAUCAUUGAUAUACUAUUAUAGGUUUUGGAAAUAUUUUGAAUUAAAAUGUUAUUUUUAUAACAAAUGUUUCACUCUAAUUUUUGUUAAAAUUCUAGUAAUUUUGUUAGUAAUUUUUUAUUAUUUUGAUAUGUCUAUGUAGGUUUUUAUUAACUUUUAAAUUAUUUAAUAUUUUUUAUUGAUUUGAAUAUUUUUUUUUAUAAAUGAUUUAAAAAAUAUUUCUUCAAGGUAAACUAAAGGAAAAUGAGAAAAGUUGCUUUGGUAAAUUAGCUGAAAUAAAAUAUGUUUUUUUUUUUUUUUUUUUACAUUAUUUUAAUUCAGUUAAUGUUCAUUUUAUUUUAAAGAGAGAUUUUUUUUUUUUUUUUAUGGUUUUAGUUUAGAUAACUAAUAACCCUGGAUUAAGUCUAUUCUAUAUAAAGAUAAGUAAGUUGUCAAAAUGUCCUUAUUGAGGCUAAAAUAGUUGAUUCAUUUCCAUUUGAAAUUGAGAACACUAGUUUAAUGCAAUUGCUAUUGUGUGCAAAUUUUUGGUAAAGAAAUCAUGAAGAAGGCUUUAGUUUUAUUAAGUCUCAUCAUUAAAUUUAGUCUACAGUUAAGAUAUAAAAUAGCAGCGGGUCAGUGUGCUAUUGAGAAACACUGUAUAUUCGUAAUAUACAUUUUCAGUCUGUACAUCAUCAGCCUACAGUGCACAUCUGGACAGAUUUUACAGCAUAAUAUGGGCGUUUAUAAGCGGAAUAAAACGUUAGUACCUGUGAUAUUAGCACCAGGACGUUAUUGAAGGGGUUUGAGCUAUAUUGGGUUUUUUCCCCGCUGGUCAGCGUUGGCAGCACGCUCAUUCUCUCUAUUUUCAGUUGUGUGUUUUUGUUGAAUGCGUCCCAGCUCAAGUGUAUAGUAUUUGGCCCAGAUUCUUUCCUCUACCCAGUAAAUAUGACGAUCCAACAGCACGCAGUCUCUCCAAACUCUGACACGCUCUGUGAUCGCUUUCAGCAUGCAGCCAAGGAAAACCACAAACUCCUCACUGCCUGGGAAAUAUCGAUCAGUACAUUCUCAUCCAAAUCCCGAAGGCGUAGUCUCUUAUUAGUUUUAUUCUUAAGCGACGGCUGGCCAAGACCAAUAAACUGAUUCCUUAACCGUCA